AGAGAUUUACUUUACUGUAUGCAGUUUUUUUUUUAAGGGAGAGCAUUUUUUUUUAUCCACCUGAAUGAAGACCCAAUCUUUCCCUUCAAAGGAUAGUUAAUAAUUACUACGGCUUCCAUAGUUUUCCCAUCAGAGAAAAUCAAAUCCAUAUACAGAUUUUUAUUAAUUCCAGGGCUGGUUCAGUAAAGAUUACAAUAAUAACUACAUCAGAUGAUUCUUUGUCACAAUUGGAAUUUUGCAGACUGAGAGAUGGUGGAGAAGGUUUCAGUUCUUGUUUCAGCAAAAUAUGUUAGAAUAGAAGAUCUUUAUUGUCGUUGUAAAUUAAAUUAUCUGCAAACCAGCAAAGUACAUCAGUCUGAGGUAUCUAAAAAUUUAUUCUUAAUGCUGGAGAGCGUUUGAUGCUGAAGCAGUGACCAGUUUUUCUGUUUCUUCUCUGGAGAUGCACAAUGAGGGACGUCUGCAGCGACUGAGAAAGAGUCUCACCACAUCCUGACAUGAGGAAAAAGACUUUAUUGAAGAUUACAAUGGGAAAAACUAUCAGACAGCAGACGGCUGCAUUCAAGGUGAGCUCUGAACAUUUGAUCUGGAACAGGAAUUCAGUAACGGCAGCAUGAGCUUCAUUUCAGUCUGUAGCUGCUGAAUUCAUGGAUGAAUCAUCUGGCACUAGAGAGGAAGACCAUCAAACAUCCACGUCAGCUGAUGGAGGUCCAAGAGUCUCACCAAACAACCUACAGAGUGAGCUCUGAACAUUUGAUCUGGAACAGGAAUUCAGUAACGGCAGCAUGAGCUUCAUUUCAGUCUGUAGCUGCUGAAUUCAUGGAUGAAUCAUCUGACACUAGAGAGGAAGACCAUCAAACAUCCACGUCAGCUGAUGGAGGUCCAAGAGUCUCACCAAACAACCUACAGAGUGAAGACCUCCAAUCUGAUUGGACGGCCUCCUAUUCAGCCACGUGUGAACAAAUGCCUCUAAGUUGAUUUGUUUUCUAAAAUAAAUCUAGUUUGAGUC
ensembl:lncRNA